UCAAAAAUUGGCAUAUUUCAUAGUGGCGCCCUCCAUUACCGAUAUUUAUCAACUUUGACCUCAAAUGUCAUAGAGUUUGGUUGUUUCAGUUAAAAUCAUCAUAAAUCGAGAGUAAUUAUCCGAAUAUUUCUUAUUUAUAUAGCUUAGAUUGUAUCGUUUGUUGAUUCACGUAGAUUUUACAGCUAAAUAAAGAUAUUGAUAUCCAAUUUUUGAAUGUAAUUGACAUAUUUCCAGUGGCGCCCUCUUUUGCGAAUGUUUGUCAACUUUUACUUUACAAGCGUCAAGUACAACAUUUGAUUAGUUUUCAAUUUGGAACGUCCGGAAAGUCGCAUUGCAAGAACACAUCGGCUAUUGGGAUGCGUUUGUUGUUGAAUGUAAGUUUGCUGUUAGGGUUUGGGUGACCAAAAAACAGGUGAAGCCCGAUCUGUCUUCGGAUUCCGACAGCUCCAGAGACAACUCAGAGUCGAAGACUGUUGCUCACAAGGUCUUAAAAGGUGCUGGUUCUUUCCUGCAUUUGGACGUUUUCGAUAAGAUCAGUAUGAAACGAGAGUAGUCGCUGAAAUGCUCUUCAGUAUAUAGAUUUGCAUUAAAAAAUUGGCAUAUUUCAUAGUGGCGCCCUCCAUUACCGAUAUUUAUCAACUUUGACCUCAAAUGUCAUGUCAUUCAGUUAAAAUCAUCAUAAAUCGAGAGUAAUUAUCCUAAUAUUUCUUAUUUAUAUAGCUUAGAUUGUAUCGUUUGUUGAUUCACAUAGAUUUUACAGCUAAAUAAAGAUAUUGUAAUCCAA